rnacentral:rRNA from 1 species
UACGGAGGGUGCGAGCGUUGUCCGGAAUCAUUGGGCGUAAAGGGCGCGUAGGUGGCCCGGUCAGUCUUUGGUGAAAGCGCGGGGCUCAACCCUGCGUCGGCCAGGGAUACUGCCGCGGCUCGAGCACUGUAGAGGCAGGCGGAAUUCCGGGUGUAGCGGUGGAAUGCGUAGAGAUCCGGAAGAACACCGGUGGCGAAGGCGGCCUGCUGGGCAGUUUAGCUGACACUGAGGCGCGGCAGCGUGGGGGAGCAAACAGGG